GACGAACGCUGGCGGCGUGCCUAAUACAUGCAAGUAGAACGCAGUUGCGAACGGGUGAGUAAAGCGUAGGUAACUGCCUCAUAGCGGGGGAUAAAUAUUGGAAACGAUAGCUAAUAACGCAUACUGUGAGAUGGACCUGCGUUGUGUUAGCUAGUUGGUGAGGUAAAGGUCCACCAAGGCGACGGUACAUAGCCGACCUGAGAGGGUCAUCUGCCAAACUGGGCGUGAGACACGGCCCAGACCCCUACGGGAGGCAGCAGUAGGGAAUCUUCGGCAAUGGACGGAAGUCUGACCGAGCAACGCCGCGGGAGUGAAGAAGGUUUUCGGAUCGUAAAGCUCUGUUGUUAGAGAAGCGUUACCUAACCAGAAAGGGACGGCUAACUACGUGCCAGCCGCCGCGGUAAUUC
rnacentral:rRNA from 1 species